rnacentral:rRNA from 1 species
UACGUAGGGGGCAAGCGUUGUCCGGAAUCAUUGGGCGUAAAGCGCACGUAGGCGGCCCGGUAAGUCCGUUGUGAAAGUCAGAGGCUCAACCUCUGGAGGCCAAUGGAUACUGCCGGGCUAGAGUCCGGAAGAGGCGAGUGGAAUUCCUGGUGUAGCGGUGGAAUGCGUAGAUAUCUGGAGGAACACCGGUGGCGAAGGCGACAUCCUGGACCGGUAUUGACGCUGAGGCGCGAAAGCCAGGGGAGCAAACGGG